CAUAGAGUAAUAGCAACGCAUCAAGAGCGGCACCAUACAUUUAACAAAAAAAGAAAAGAAAAGUAUAUACGUUUCAGAAAAAAAAGAGAGAAUAGUCUAGAGGCAUCAAACAAAGUGUCGUGCGCCCAAAAUUAAAUUCAGAGGGGUGGAAAAGUAAAACAAAUAAAAAGUUCACUCAAUGAAUUUUAUACGAGGCAGCAUAAAAAAAAAAAAAAACACGUGAGGGAAGUAUAUAAAACAACAAAAAUAAUUCUUAAAAGAUUAAAUAUGGCCACCUGAGGCUUAACCGCAGGGCAAGGGGGAAGAAUAUAACAGGUAGGGUAAGCCUGCUGGAGGGCAAGAACGGAGGGUGAAGGAGGGCACGGUAUGGUAAGGUAUGGUUAGGGAAGAGUUACGAGGAAAGGGAAGGGGAAACUGGAGGCCUAUUACCCUUUUUUACGAGUACCAGAGGCGGAGAGGGGAGACUACUCGAGAGGGGAGACCAGAUACCUCAAGGGGAACUAAGACGAGGCGAGGGGAGAGGGACGGAAGGAAACAGGAAGGGUGGCGUCUGCGGGAGAUAAGGAGGUGACGCCUGAUAGGAAAUGGGGAGGUAAGCUGUAAAGGGGAAGUGGAUGAGUGAAAUGUGAUGGAGACGAGUGAGGGAGAGACAGAACACCCCCACGAGGCGCUGAGGGGGACGCGAUCAGCAAUGAAUGACAAAAGAAAAAUUGGAAAGUGAUUUAUGAUUUCUUUCCUCAACACCCGCACUUCCCCCUCUUCCCUCCCUCCCUUCCUCCCUCCUUUCCCUCUGCGAGAACACCGAGUGGCAGGGAUUGGUCCAGCACGCACUGUCGACAUGUGGUUGUUUGCUCUUCGUGUGUGUGGGUGUGGGGGGGGGGGGGCGUGGAUAUGGGUGUCAGUUUUAGGAGUUAUCUCUAUAUAACACACACACACACACACACACACACACACACACACACACACACACACACACACAUACACACACUCACACACACACACACACCGAUGUAAAUAAGGGAUUCGAUCCGCCGCCGCCGCCGCCGCCAGCACCCCCUUAAGGAGGCGGGUCAGGGCGGCCACUUUUUCCUCCUUUAUCAUUAAUUCUUUCAGCGCACCGCCGUUUCCCUUCUUCUCUUCUCCGUCCCCUCGGCCUGCGCCCCUCACUCCCAUCCCCUCGGCGGCGGAGAAUGGUGCUGGCGUGCGUCCCCCGUCUGGCCCAAGGGUCCCCUCCGCGCCGCUCCUCCGCCUCCUUCAUAUUCAUACACCUUCCUUCAAAAUCAUCUUCUCUCCUAAACUGUCCCGGCCGCUCCCCCUUCACCGUAGCGCCAAGGAACUGUUCCCAUCGGACGCCAGUAACCUGGUAAUAAGGAGGGCUCGCGGCUCUCCCUUCCCUCCCUCCCUCUCAUCCGGUGUCGUCUUCUCUUCUCUCUUCGCUUCUCCCCUUCCUUCCCUCCUCUUCCUUUCCUCUUCCCUUAUAACCGGUUCAGUCUCUCCUUGCUCUCCGGCUCUCGCUUCCUCCCUUCUGAUUGUCACACUAAUAGACCUAUAGAGGCGGCGGCACCAGGCGGCGGCGGCCCGGCUGGCUGGUCCCCGCCGUUGUUCGGGCCUCACAAGCAACAUCUGGAGUCUCGCUCUUGCAAUAUUCCCGACGCGGAGCGCGGGGAUGAGGGAGCUACAGCAGCCCCUCAGCCUAGCCUCCCUGUCUUCUAUCUUCCUUCUUUCCCUAUUUCGUUCCCGCGCCUUCCUCCCGCCUCGCCAUCACUCCCCGCUUGAGUUGGUCAUCUGAAGAGUCUCGGUUAUCAUGGAAGCAGUAAAGUGUCGUCCCUCUUUCUCAAAACUAUAAUGAAGAGGGGGUCUACCAAAGCGAAGGGUGACUCCAUGGGUCGCAUUCCUCCCCGCCCCGCGUCUUCCCCUCGCCGGGCCGCGGGAUCCGCCGCUUGAUUGGCAGCCAGCCACCUUCAAUUUUCGCGGACUAUUUGCGGGGAUCCUUCUGUCAACGUCUGUCUUCUGCUUCACCGACCAAGUUUUCUCUGUAUAUAUGUUUUUUCCUUCCCCCGCGAGCUUCUUUGAAGAGGGAGCGAGCCAUUCCAGGCUCGCCUCCCGCGCCGCUGUUGUCCGCCGCGUCGCCGCGCAGCUGCUGCCGGGCAUUAGUACCUUGAUGGGGGUCUGGGGCGCGAAUUAUCCCCCAGCCCAGCAGGAGCCCCGCAACACUCUUAUAAUGGAACAGGUGUUUUUUCCUCCCUCUCUCUUUCUAAUUAACUGGAGCUGUAGGCACUCCACGCGCUGGGUUCGCCGGGACCAAUCUCUGCAUCUUUCUUUAUCCUUGCAGUAUGUUGCUAAAGUUUUUACAUCAAAUUUUCUUUUUUCUUCCUGUACAGACGUCUCGCCCGCCCCUCCCCGGCGCCGGAACACCGCGGCCGUCGCCUCCUACCUUAGGCGGCCGCUCCCUGGCGUGUCCGGCCGUCCUCCGUUACCUACCGAGAGGAUGAACCCGCGUCUCCACUUCCCCCCCUGGUCCUUCGCCGCCAAAACAAGACACCGGAACAACUAUCACCAGCACCACCACCACCAGCACCAGCAUCAUCACCAUGGACCCAGCGCGUGACUCCUAUCAACGACCACAUGCAGGUAGGUUACCCGCACUACUUUUCAGCCGCACUUUAUCUCCCUCAUCACCACUCGUUAUCCUUCACCAAGUCAUCACCACCACCACCACUACCAUCGCCGCCGCCGCGCUAUCAUCAUCACUCACUACUGAAGCUAAUCACUGCUCGCCCCUCUCCAAGUUACUCGCUUUUCAUCACCUCGCUGUCACCACUCGUCACUGGCCCACCACCACCUCCACCCUCACCACCCCCUCCGCCUUCCUCCUCCCCCAAAGCUCACUGUCUGCCACCCGCCUCCUCAUUCACUGCUUGGGUGGAUGUGAGUGGAUGGGUGGAUGGUUUUCUCUCCCUCCAGGCCGCCACCACCACUUCCUGUCACCUCUUCCUAUCUUCAUCAUCACCACUUCUCAUCCGACUACCUCUACUUCCUUCCUUCCUUUUCCAUCCCUCACCUUUUACCCCCCCCUCCCCCCGUCACAACCACCACCAUCAACAACAACAACAGUAACGACUCUCCUCCCCCGUCUUCCCGUCUCCCACGCCACUUCCCUUCCUUUCCCAUCUGUCAACAUCCGUCUCUUCAUUGCACAACCUCACCCUCGUCCUUAUCUGCCAUCAUCACUACUUCAUCAUUAUCAUCACAACCUUCCAUACCCCAACUCUCCGUGAUGCUUCUUUCCCCCCCUUCUCUAGCAGCCAUCAUCGUCAUCAUUAUCAUUACCAUCAUCAA